AUUGAACGCUGGCGGCAGGCUUAACACAUGCAAGUCGAACGAGUGGCGGACGGGUGAGUAAUGCUUGGGAAUCUGGCUUAUGGAGGGGGAUAACGACGGGAAACUGUCGCUAAUACCGCGUACCAUAGGAUGAGCCCAAGUGGGAUUAGGUAGUUGGUGGGGUAAUGGCCUACCAAGCCGACGAUCUCUAGCUGGUCUGAGAGGAUGACCAGCCACACCGGGACUGAGACACGGCCCGGACUCCUACGGGAGGCAGCAGUGGGGAAUAUUGCGCAAUGGGGGCAACCUGACGCAGCCAUGCCGCGUGAAUGAAGAAGGCCUUCGGGUUGUAAAGUUCUUUCGGUGACGAGGCGUUAAUCACAGAAGAAGCACCGGCUAACUCCGUGCCAGCAGCCGCGGUAAUUC
rnacentral:rRNA from 1 species